rnacentral:rRNA from 1 species
AAAUGAAUUGACGGGGACUCGCACAAGCGGUGGAGCACGUGGUUUAAUUCGACAACAAGCGGGAAACCUCACCAAGGCUUGACAUGACGCUGCAAGCCCCGAGAAAUCGGGGCCGCCUACGAGGGUGCGUCACAGGUGCUGCAUGGUUGCCGUCAGCUCGUGUCGUGAGAUGUACGGUUAAGUCCGAUAACGAGCGCAACCCCUAUCCUAAUUUAUACUUUAUUAGGAAACUGCCUCGGAUAACGAGGAGGAAGGUGGGGAUGACGUCAAAUCAGCAUGGCUCUUACGCCUUGGGCAACACACAUGCUACAAUGGCCGGUACAGAGGGUCGCUAAACCGUAAGGUGGAGCUAAUCCCAUCAAAACCGGUCUCAGUUCGGAUUGAGGUCUGCAACUCGACCUCAUGAAGCCGGAAUCGCUAGUAACCGUGAAUCAGCACGUCACGGUGAAUACGUUCUCGAGUCUUGUACACACCGCCCGU